rnacentral:rRNA from 1 species
UAUUGGACAAUGGGCGAGAGCCUGNUCCAGCCAUGCCGCGUGCAGGAAGAAGGCCUUCUGGGUUGUAAACUGCUUUUGCCAGGGGAUAAAAAGUCCCUGCGGGGAAAAUUGAAGGUACCUGGUGAAUAAGCCACGGCUAACUACGUGCCAGCAGCCGCGGUAAUACGUAGGUGGCAAGCGUUGUCCGGAUUUAUUGGGUUUAAAGGGUGCGUAGGCGGUUUCAUAAGUCAGUGGUGAAAUACGGCAGCUCAACUGUCGAGGUGCCAUUGAUACNUGUGAGACUUGAGUACAGACGAGGUAGGCNGGAAUUGACGGUGUAGCNGGUGAAAUGCUUAGAUAUCGUCAAGAACACCGAUAGCGAAGGCAGCUUACUAGGCUGUAACUGACGCUGAGGCACGAAAGUGUGGGGAUCAAACAGGAUUAGAUACCCUGGUAGUCCACACUGUAAACGAUGAUUACUCGAUGUUGGCGAUACACAGCCAGCGUCUUAGCGAAAGCGAUAAGUAAUCCACCUGGGGAGUACGCCGGCAACGGUGAAACUCAAAAAAAUUGACGGA